UGAGAGAGGAAGGAUGGGGAGGACCCACGGAGUUGUUUCCAGGAACGAAGAGAGAAAGACGGGAGGGACAGUGAGAUGGGACGGAGGGUUGGGGGAGCAGAUGAGGUUCACAAUUUUAAAGUUCCCUAGCUUUUUACUAUUGUGAAACCAAUGAGAUGGGGAGGUCAUGCACCAGCGGUGGUGAUUUGCAUGUUUUCUCGAUGGAGAUCUCACGGUCCUGAACUCUCCCUCAAGCUCUCCUUCAAGCUAUAGUCGCGAAAUAAAUUCCCUCUAACAUUUGCAGAGGGCAUGACAACCGAAGUCUCUCCAUUUGGGAAAGGCCCCCUCUCUCUUUCCUGCUGUUUCUCACGAGUCAUGAUGCAACCCCCCUCCUCUCUCUCCUGCUGCCACUCUCCCACCCCCUCCUCUCUCUCUCCAACUCCCGCCCCCCUCCUCUCUCUCUCCACCCAAACUCUUGGAUCCAUCUUCCGCCCCUCUCUCUCUCUACCCACAUUAUCUCUCUCCACCCAAACUUCAAUCUCUCGCUCCUGCAAUAAAGCUCGCACAAAUCACAUGUGACAUGGGAUGCGGCGAUCUAAUGUGGUCUGAUGAGAUCCUAGGCCAAGACAGGAAGCCCGUGGUCAGAAGGUUCAUGUCACAGAGGCUAGAUACUUGCGUUACUGGUGGAGCUCUAUAUGAAGACGAGAAGCCCAAAGUUGUUGCCACGGUUCCAAAAAAAGUAGUCAUUCUAAAAUUUAUUAUUAUAAGUGCAGUUGUUCUUAUAUUGUUGACCUAGGAAUGUGUAUUUGUUUCAUGGUAUCAUUACAAAUGUAGUUCAGUUUUCGUAGAUGUCUUGGUGAUGUAUUGUAAUAUGGUUAGUAGGUUAAAAAAUAUUAUUACAAUUAUAGUUGAGUAAUGCAUUUUGGUUAUUCUA